rnacentral:rRNA from 1 species
AGAGUUUGAUUCUGGCUCAGAACGAACGCUGGCGGCGCGUCUUAAACAUGCAAGUCGAACGGACUUUUUAGAGCUUGCUUUGAAAAGUUAGUGGCGCACGGGUGAGUAACACGUGGGUAAUCUUCCUUCGAGAUGGGGACAACCAACCGAAAGGUUGGCUAAUACCGAAUAAAGAGUACAUUUGAAAUAAUGUACUUUAAAGGAAUUAAAUCGCUCGGAGAUGAGCCUGCGGCCUAUUAGCUAGUUGGCGGGGUAAAUGCCCACCAAGGCAACGAUAGGUAUCCGGCCUGAGAGGGUGAACGGACACAUUGGGACUGAGACACGGCCCAGACUCCUACGGGAGGCAGCAGUUAAGAAUCUUGGACAAUGGACGAAAGUCUGAUCCAGCGACGCCGCGUGAAUGAUGAAGGUUUUCGGAUUGUAAAGUUCAGUAAGCAGGGAAGAAUAAAUGACGGUACCUGCCUAAAGCAUCGGCUAAAUACGUGCCAGCAGCCGCGGUAAUACGUAUGAUGCAAGCGUUGUUCGGAAUUAUUGGGCGUAAAGGGCAUUCAGGCGGGAUAUUAAGUCGGGUGUGAAAUCUGGAGGCUCAACCUCCAAACUGCAUUCGAUACUGGUAUUCUUGAGUCAGGGAGAGGAAGGCGGAAUUCCCAGUGUAGCGGUGAAAUGCGUAGAUAUUGGGAAGAACACCGGUGGCGAAGGCGGCCUUCUGGCCUAUGACUGACGCUGAAGUGCGAAAGUGUGGGGAUCAAACGGGAUUAGAUACCCCGGUAGUCCACACCGUAAACGUUGCAUACUAGGUGUUAGAGAUUUAAUCUCUAGUGCCGUCGCUAACGCAGUAAGUAUGCCGCCUGGGGAGUACGCUCGCAAGAGUGAAACUCAAAGAAAUUGACGGGGGCCCGCACAAGCGGUGGAGCAUGUGGUUUA